rnacentral:misc_RNA from 1 species
UUUGGUUGUGACGCGUGCCGAGAUCCGUGCGUGCACGCAGCGAGGCUUCUCCCGAAAAAGGAAAUAUUUUUCCGGUUUGGCGAAGGUCUAGCCAGUGUAUCGUCUUCUAAAGUGUCCAGAGCAAGCUCUGCGGUAUGAGCUACGGACGGCCGCCGCCCCGGAUCGACGGGAUGGUGUCGUUAAAGGUCGACAAUCUGACCUACAGAACGACACCGGAGGAUCUGCGACGGGUCUUCGAGCGCUGCGGGGAGGUCGGCGACAUUUAUAUACCCCGCGACCGCUUUACUCGCGAGAGCCGAGGCUUUGCAUUCGUCAGAUUCUAUGACAAGCGCGAUGCCGAAGAUGCGCUCGACGCUAUGGAUGGAAGGUUGCUGGACGGCAGGGAGCUGAGAGUACAGAUGGCACGGUAUGGAAGACCCACUUCCCCUCAUCGUAGCCGUGGAAGCCGACGCCGUGGACGAUCACGCAGCCGCAGCAGGGAUCGACGACGCACACGUUCCAGAUCACGAUCCAGGUCACGAAGUCACGAGAGGGACCGCAGGCGUUCUUACAGCCGCAGUCGCAGUCGUUCACGUUCUGACAGUAAGAGCUCGAGAGGCAAGUCUCGCUCUCGCAGCAAGUCUCAGGAAAGGCAGAAGGACAGUCGUUCUAAAUCAAGGGACUGAGACUAGGUGGUGACUGCGAAGAGAAGCCUGUAAAUCAACGCGCACCUGCCCGAGUUGCGAAAGCAGAAUGUCGUUCUCGUGUGAAAAAGGCGGUGUAAAGGAGUGGCGCGGCGAGUGUAGCCGAUGAUGGGGUGUAGCUGAGAGUAAGCAGUAAGCCGAGUAGCGGUGCUGUAUGCAGGUUGCAGUAGCGAGCGGUUCGCGGUCUGGUGAGAGCGGGGGAGAGAGCGAGAGAGAGAGAGAAAGGGGAACCGGGUUCGCGGUCGGGUGAAGGGAGCGAGUGAGAAAGGACGAGGUCCGCGGCGGUCACGUGGUACGGUCACGUGGUUCCGGGGGUAGCUGAGAGAGCAGUCUUCGGCCACGCGCGGUCGGCGCUGGUCGUCCGAGAGGUACGGUGGUGUCACGCAGCCCGCAGCCCCCGGAAGACUGACCUUCCCAGGGAAUCGGUGACGAGGUGAGGACACGACCGUGAGGAGCGACGACCACGCACGGAUCCAUCUUCCGCAGUGGUUGGAACCUCAUCGUGUGGUCGUGAUUCGCUGCCUCUACCACUUGACCAGUCUGUGUGUGGGGGUACGCAGAGCAAGGGGUGCAUUUUGGAGGUACGGUAGGCACAACUGGUGGCACCGAACGGUGCACUCAUUUCAUGUGAGGUUGGUAGGUUGGAGGGAACGGUUCGCUACGGUGCUGUGGAGGUUAUGAACGGUCGUGAGGGAACAAAUUAUUCAUGGAUUAGGAGUCAACGAAGGCGAACGAUGGGAGAUACUUAUAAUAUGUUGGAGGCAGGUGGAUGUUUAGAAUCGUGGGGUGGGGGCGAUUAGGAACGGUUACGAAGGACUAAAUUAUUGACUGUUUAGGGAUUAACAAAGGAGGAGUGUAGGCAAAAUUUAUAUUUUUGGGGUCUCGGAAAGCUCUACGAUGCAGAUUUCCUUAAUGUGAGAUUGGUUGGAUUAUUGUUAGCUGCUGUGAAAUUGGUAAUGCCAAGUUUCGUGGGAUGGGAACGAUGAAUUGGGUUUCUCGUUGGAUAGGUUUGCUUGUAAAAAGAGGACGGUACAGGUUGGGUGGUUGUGGCAAAUUUAGUAAAUGUAAAUUUAAAUGUUUCAAAGGUGGGUAUGAAUCGAAGCAAUUGUACCGUGAUUUGCAGCCGGUGUUGCACUCUCUCUCGCAGUUUAAUAGAGAAGGGAUGAUCGUCAAUUCAGCACCGACUAAAGUUUCGCAGUUGGGGAUUCUGACAGGUUAUUUGUGAGUCUUGGGUAGAACAGACCUUUAUCAUGUCAGUUUUUAGCAGCUUUUUUCCAGCUUGAGUGUCGAAACGGCGAAGAGGUGACACCGACAAGCCAAAAUAUUACUUCCGGUCUCUAGGAUCCUUCGAUUGCAACUGAAAGUCACUCCACUGUUCCGAGCCCGAGAUGCGUCGUGAUUUUCUGUCGAGAUGAGAAAAUAAAUACUUUAUCAAAUA